CUGAUCCCAGUGGUACCCUUGCCUGAUGCCCCUCAACGGAGAGCAGAGCAAAGACACUUAGCACGAAGGCGCAAAUACGCCUCGCAUUUACAACAACUGAGAAGUCAGAACAAUGUCUCUGAAUGAUGAUUGGCUGCGAGAGUGUUGAAGAUACCCAUCUUAGCUCCUGUUUUGGAACAGCUCUUUUCCCAUAGCGUAGCUACUCUGCCUGUACCGAAAUUUCUAGAAGCUAAUUUGUUUAUUUACAGGAAUGACUUGAAUGGCAGACUAUGCUACACCACGACAGACACGCAAAAUGCGCCUACAUUUUCAGGAGUAGUGGGAUUCAACGUAGAUAAUUUCUGUAAGGCGAGCGCUGCAUUAGAUGGACAAACAGCGGGCAAAGGCUCUACAGUGAGCGAAUUGUGCACCACGCCGUGUGGCCUUCAGAAUUUCGUGUAUCAUACCAUCUUCCUUGGUCCAUGCAAGGCGCCGCAGACUUCCGGACAAGCAUGCUUCGAUGACGACCAUGUGCUGUGCUUCUUCAAUCAAUGUGAAAAGAAAUACAGCGAGAUAAAAGCGCUGGCCCGUCGUAACUGGAACCAACCAGACAGCUAUUACGACGAACGUGCUGCCUGUGCUAAAUACCCUUGACGUGGCGUUCAUCGUGCUCAAGUUACCUGGACGUGUCCUGCACAUUACCUUGAUCAGACUAUGUGGCUGCUGUGCUGUGUUCAAUAUUCCCUGGAUUGAGACACUGUUUCAUAGCUGAGAAUUGUUGACGAUGUGACUCGAUAACGCAUUGAUGCUCCAUUGCGACUUGUGUGUGUAAUUGAUGAAACUGUGCUACAAGAGCUACAACUUCAGAGUGCGUAAAGUGGGAUACAACUCGAAACAAGGCUGAUCCUUGGUCGGUGAUUCUACAUUACGCGCUGCGACUGCCA